rnacentral:rRNA from 1 species
AUACGGAGGAUCCGAGCGUUAUCCGGAUUUAUUGGGUUUAAAGGGUGCGCAGGCGGCCAUUUAAGUCAGCGGUUAAAUCGUGGGGCUCAACCCCAUUCUGCCGUUGAUACUGGGUGGCUUGAUUGCGGUCGAGGUUGGCGGAAUUCGUUGUGUAGCGGUGAAAUGCAUAGAGAUGACGAAGAACACCGAUUGCGUAGGCAGCUGACCAGACCGCAAAUGACGCUCAUGCACGAAAGUGCGGGGAUCGAACAGGAUUAGAUACCCUGGUAGUCCACACAGUAAACGAUGAAUACUUGUUUUCGGCGAUAUAAUGUCGGAGGCAAAGCGAAAGCGAUAAGUAUUCCACCUGGGGAGUACACCGGCAACGGUGAAACUCAAAUGAAUUGACGGGG